GCCAUCAUAGCUCAGUGCGGCAGAGCACUGGUCUUGUAAAACCAGGGUCGUGAGUUCGAUCCUCACUGGUAUUUUGCA